UACGUAGGGUGCAAGCGUUGUCCGGAAUUAUUGGGCGUAAAGAGCUCGUAGGCGGUUUGUCGCGUCUGCUGUGAAAACUGGAGGCUCAACCUCCAGCCUGCAGUGGGUACGGGCAGACUAGAGUGCGGUAGGGGGAGAUUGGAAUUCCUGGUGUAGCGGUUGGAAUGCGCAGAUAUCAGGAGGAACACCGAUGGCGAAGGCAGAUCUCUGGGCCGUAACUGGACGCUGAGGCACGAAAGCCAGGGGAGCGAACGGG
rnacentral:rRNA from 1 species